UAGGGAAUCUUCGGCAAUGGACGAAAGUCUGACCGAGCAACGCCGCGUGAGUGAAGAAGGUUUUCGGAUCGUAAAACUCUGUUGUUAGAGAAGAACAAGGACGUUAGUAACUGAACGUCCCCUGACGGUAUCUAACCAGAAAGCCACGGCUAACUACGUGCCAGCAGCCGCGGUAAUACGUAGGUGGCAAGCGUUGUCCGGAUUUAUUGGGCGUAAAGCGAGCGCAGGCGGUGUCUUAAGUCUGAUGUGAAAGCCCCCGGCUCAACCGGGGAGGGUCAUUGGAAACUGGGAGACUUGAGUGCAGAAGAGGAGAGUGGAAUUCCAUGUGUAGCGAUGAAAUGCGUAGAUAUAUGGAGGAACACCAGUGGCGAAGGCGGCUCUCUGGUCUGUAACUGACGCUGAGGCUCGAAAGCGUGGGGAGCAAACAGG
rnacentral:rRNA from 1 species